UAUUUAUUUUCUUUAGCAACAAAAUAUGCCAAUUAUUUAUUAUGUAUUUUUAUCAAAUCUUUGAACUUUGUUGAGAAAAUUACCUUCUAAUUUUAAGAAUAGAGGGUUUUAAGUUGUACCAUUGGCAUGAGGGUUGUAUCGUGCCGAUAUCCUACUGGCACGAUAAGGUACGGUGGAUUCGGCCCAUGCCGAUGGGCACUUUAAUCCUUGGUUUAAAUGUAUUAUAGGUCGAAAUAUUUGUAGCCCUUUGAAAUACUGUGAUUUGCACCAUAUCUCCUUUGAUAGUCGAAACCAAGAAUUUAAAUGCUGUGGUACUAGGUUGUGCCGAACACUUGCCAAGGCGUUGCGUGUUGUGCUGUGCCAAUGUUUGCUGUGGACAAGAUAUGUGUUCCAGCAUAAUUUGGCAUGAAAUUUUUUUCUUCGGCACUGGUGGAGUCUGAUUACUAGUAAUAUAUUCUUUAUCAAAUCUAUUGUAUUAUAUUGAUUGAUGUGAUUAUUUGUUAAUUUCAAAGAAAGAGGGUUUUGAGAUGUGCUAUCGGCAUAGAAGUUGUUGUAUUGUGCCGAUAUCUUGUGCACGGUGGGCGGAAUCUCUGCCUAUGAGCACUUAAUUUUUUGUUGGCCAAAACCCAUGGAGAACUCUUUUCAUGCGGUUUGUCUUCAGAGAAAAGAUUGUACACUAGGAUAAUUUUAACAUUUGCUUUUUUUUUUUUUUUUUUCUCCCCGGUGCUGUGAUUGGAGAGGUUUCUCACAAAUGAAAGGUUCCUGUUUAUAUUUUAAAUAUCCACUGGGUAUUGUGCAACUGCAGUAUUUAGAGUUUUCUGUAUUUUAGUGAAAAUGUUAAUGAGCUUUUUCCCUCUGGUGGCUUUUUGCUUUUUGUGUUUUUUGUGUGUGAAUGGACUGUUACUAUCCCUGUGGUGAAAUUACCAUUUUAAGAUGUUUCGAGUGUUGCAGCAGUUGAUUUCUAUAGUGGUUCUGCAAAGUGAUGUCGAAAUAGUUGCUAUUCCUGUAAUCCAGAGAUGGCGAGAUGAACGAUUUUGUUUCGACAUCUGUCUCUCUGUUUGAUGAUGUUGUUUAACUGCACCUGAAACACGGACCCUAUUGAAACAGAAAUGGAGCUUGCUAUGCACCAGUUGCAGUGGAAUACAGUUUCGUUCGCGCAAUUGGAUUUUUGAAGGUUAUGGAGUUGGGGUGAUAGCAAAAGGCUAUGUAAAAUGUAGCUUUAAGACUUUUCCGCAAUAGGUUUUGUGAAGGUUGUGGAAUUGGUGUGCUAUCAAAAAGCUGCGGAAAAUGUAGCUUAGACUAUUCUCUCUGCUGGAGAUCAUCAGUUUAUUGCAGUACAUAGACUGGUUGGACCUGAGUAAUGAGUGAAGCUAUUACUGUCCUUUUAGGUUCUGUUUACAUACGAUGUUACUUUGGGUUCACCACUGUUUGUAAACUGUUCAUCCCCUUUCUUUUAUUUUUUAUUUUUUCUGAAGGUAGUACUGUAAUAAUAGGAAAGUUUGGGUGCGUCUUUUUUGUGUGGUUCUAUACGAAUGCGUGAAUGUUUAGGUAGUUGUGGUGCAUAUAUUUAUGUUUUAUUUAUUUGUUUACUUAUUUUUGAUUAUAUAUGUUUUAUUUAUUUGUUUACUUAUUUUUGAUUAUAGGCCCUAAUGACUAUAGUUCACAGAGGGAUCGUUCACUCCGCUAGUUUAUUAAGAUGAUUUCGGGAAUGUUGUACAUUUUAUUUUAUAUUAAGCAUGAUAAGCUUUUUUUUUUUUUUAUCUACUAUAAUUGCUAUCAAUAUAUGAGAAUGACGGUAACUUUUUUAACCCAUCUGUAAAAAGAAAAAAAAGGAGAGGGCUUUGGUAUCCCGACGUAGUGUUCUGUGCAAGUAUGAAUAAAUUGAAGUUCCCUUUA